AACUAUUGUAAAUGGUAUGCAGAUACCCUCCGUCAUACUUUUGGGACAUUGAUGCCCCUGCCAUCCAAAAACUAGAGCAUAUAUGCCCUUCACUUUAACGGAAGACUAAAUAGGGACACGUGGCACAAUCUUAUCCGUCAAUCUAAUAUUUAAUAAAUGUCGGUCGGUGAAUAAGAUUAUGACACGUGUAUGUCCGUUAGUAUAAAGGGUAUAUAUGCUCUAGUUUUUGGACGACAGGGGCCAAUGUUCCAAAAGUAUGACGAAGGGUAUCUAUAUAUCAUUUAUGAUAGUUCGAAGAUAUAUUUAUCCUUUUCUUCUAAUAUAAAUGCAGUGCUUACAGAUUUAUUUUAAUUUUUAAUUUAUAAAAUACUAUAUUAUUUUUACUUUUUAACUCACUUGAAUGGCAGCGAUUAAACUUCUUUUUUUUUUCUUUUUUUUUUUUGAUUAAAACGCUCCAUUCAUUUUUCUGGUAUUCAAGCAGGCUGGAAUAUGUAUUAUCAUAAUAAUGGUUAAUCAUUGCCAGAGCAGCGAUUUUAAAGAGAAAUAAUUUUUAUUUUUUUUACGGAGUCAAUUUUUGUCAGAAGAAUUUGCCUUUUGGUUAAAAAUAAUUUGAUGUACCAUUUUUAUUUUUUGAAGGUAAAAAGUUACCCUUUUAACUUCGAACUCCAUUUUAAGAUGUAUUUUUUCAUCAUAUUAAUAUGAAAGAAGUUACAAUUUAUACUCCAUACUUUU
rnacentral:lncRNA from 1 species